UACGGAGGGUGCGAGCGUUAUCCGGAAUUACUGGGUUUAAAGGGUGCGUAGGCGGCUUGGUAAGUCAGGAGUGAAAGUUUGCAGCUCAACUGUAAAAUUGCUUUUGAUACUGCCGAGCUGGAAUCAGGAUGAGGUCAGCGGAAUGUGGCAUGUAGCGGUGAAAUGCAUAGAUAUGCCAGAGAACACCAAUUGCGAAGGCAGCUGGCUAGACCUGUAUUGACGCUGAGGCACGCAAGCGUGGGGGGCGAACAGG
rnacentral:rRNA from 1 species